UUUUGUAUAAUGGGUCAGCGACUUAUAUUCUGUAGCAAGGUUAACCGAAUAGGGGAGCCGAAGGGAAACCGAGUCUUAACUGGGCGUUAAGUUGCAGGGUAUAGACCCGAAACCCGGUGAUCUAGCCAUGGGCAGGUUGAAGGUUGGGUAACACUAACUGGAGGACCGAACCGACUAAUGUUGAAAAAUUAGCGGAUGACUUGUGGCUGGGGGUGAAAGGCCAAUCAAACCGGGAGAUAGCUGGUUCUCCCCGAAAGCUAUUUAGGUAGCGCCUCGUGAAUUCAUCUCCGGGGGUAGAGCACUGUUUCGGCAAGGGGGUCAUCCCGACUUACCAACCCGAUGCAAACUGCGAAUACCGGAGAAUGUUAUCACGGGAGACACACGGCGGGUGCUAACGUCCGUCGUGAAGAGGGAAACAACCCAGACCGCCAGCUAAGGUCCCAAAGUCAUGGUUAAGUGGGAAACGAUGUGGGAAGGCCCAGACAGCCAGGAUGUUGGCUUAGAAGCAGCCAUCAUUUAAAGAAAGCGUAAUAGCUCACUGGUCGAGUCGGCCUGCGCGGAAGAUGUAACGGGGCUAAACCAUGCACCGAAGCUGCGGCAGCGACACUAUGUGUUGUUGGGUAGGGGAGCGUUCUGUAAGCCUGUGAAGGUGUACUGUGAGGUAUGCUGGAGGUAUCAGAAGUGCGAAUGCUGACAUAAG
rnacentral:rRNA from 1 species